rnacentral:rRNA from 1 species
GACGAACGCUGGCGGCGUGCUUAACACAUGCAAGUCGAACGGUAAGGCCCUUCGGGGUACACGAGUGGCGAACGGGUGAGUAACACGUGGGUGAUCUGCCCUGCACUUCGGGAUAAGCCUGGGAAACUGGGUCUAAUAUCGGAUAGGACCACUGCCUGCAUGGGUGGUGGUGGAAAGCUUUUGCGGUGUGGGAUGGGCCCGCGGCCUAUCAGCUUGUUGGUGGGGGGAUGGCCUACCAAGGCGACGACGGGUAGCCGGCCUGAGAGGGUGACCGGCCACACUGGGACUGAGAUACGGCCCAGACUCCUACGGGAGGCAGCAGUGGGGAAUAUUGCACAAUGGGCGCAAGCCUGAUGCAGCGACGCCGCGUGAGGGAUGACGGCCUUCGGGUUGUAAACCUCUUUCAGCACCGACGAAGCGCAAGUGACGGUAGGUGCAGAAGAAGGACCGGCCAACUACGUGCCAGCCGCCGCUGUAA